rnacentral:ncRNA from 1 species
GCAGAGUAGAUAAACAGGCGUAAAGUGUUCGGCAAACGGGGAGUUGUUGCUGGAACGAAAAAUCGUAGGAUUUGCGGUCUGUUUGUCGCAUCCCGCUGU